CCGAUCAAACCCCAGCCUGGAAAGGGGAAGCACCCCUAGAUGAGGAGCUCUUGGCAAUGAACGGCUGCUGGAAAGGAAGAGUCAGUUUUCUGUGUGUGGGCCCUGGUAACUGACCACACUCCAGUGGGCACACAUCCGAGAGAAAAGCCACGCAGGCUCGAAUUCCAGCAAGCAUGCAUGCCAAUAUCCCCUUGAUACAGACAUCUUCAAGGUGCCUAACCACAAGAAGGAUGUCACCUCACUCCCAAAGGAACAGGCAUACACCAGUGAACAAUACCCAAGGUGAAACUUUCAUCCUAGACGACCUCAAGAAUUGGGACUGGAGAGAUGGCUCAGUGUUAAGAGCACUGGCUGACCUUCCAGGAGAGGUGGGUUUGAGUUCCGGCACCCACAUAAUGGCUCACAACUAUCUGUAACUCCACCUGCAGGGCAUCUAGAGCCCUCUUCUGGCAUCUGUAGGUACUGCCCACAAGUGGUGCACAGCUAUAUAUGCAGGC